rnacentral:rRNA from 1 species
GAUAAACGCUGGCGGCGUGCAUGAGACAUGCAAGUCGAACGAAGGAUCGGGCUUGCUCGAUCCUUAGUGGCGAACGGCUGAGUAACGCGUAGGUGACCUACCCCGAAGUGGGGAAUAACUGCCCGAAAGGGUGGCUAAUACCGCAUGUGGUCGCACGUUCAUUCGUGCGAGUAAAGCCGCAAGGCGCUUCGGGAGGGGCCUGCGUCCGAUUAGCUCGUUGGUGGGGUAAUGGCUUACCAAGGCGACGAUCGGUAGGUGGUCUGAGAGGACGAUCACCCAGACUGGGACUGAGACACGGCCCAGACUCCUACGGGAGGCAGCAGUCGGGAAUUUUGCUCAAUGGGGAAACCCUGAAGCAGCAACGCCGCGUGAGGGAUGAAGGCCUUCGGGUUGUAAACCUCUUUUGUCAGGGACGAUGAUGACGGUACCUGGCGAAUAAGCCACGGCUAACUACGUG